rnacentral:rRNA from 1 species
GUGGGGAAUAUUGGACAAUGGGGGCAACCCUGAUCCAGCCAUGCCGCGUGCGUGAAGAAGGCCUUAGGGUUGUAAAGCGCUUUCGGCGGGGAAGAUGAUGACGGUACCCGCAGAAGAAGCUCCGGCUAACUCCGUGCCAGCAGCCGCGGUAAUACGGAGGGGGCUAGCGUUGUUCGGAAUUACUGGGCGUAAAGGGCGCGUAGGCGGAUUGUCAAGUCAGAGGUGAAAGCCCUGGGCUCAACCUGGGAACUGCCUUUGAAACUAACGGUCUAGAGUCCGAGAGAGGAUGGCGGAAUUCCCAGUGUAGAGGUGAAAUUCGUAGAUAUUGGGAAGAACACCAGUGGCGAAGGCGGCCAUCUGGCUCGGUACUGACGCUGAGGCGCGAAAGCGUGGGGAGCAAACAGG